rnacentral:rRNA from 1 species
AGUGAACGCUGGCGGUAGGCCUAACACAUGCAAGUCGAACGGCAGCACAGUAAGAGCUUGCUCUUACGGGUGGCGAGUGGCGGACGGGUGAGGAAUACAUCGGAAUCUACUUUUUCGUGGGGGAUAACGUAGGGAAACUUACGCUAAUACCGCAUACGACCUACGGGUGAAAGCAGGGGAUCUUCGGACCUUGCGCGAUUGAAUGAGCCGAUGUCGGAUUAGCUAGUUGGCGGGGUAAAGGCCCACCAAGGCGACGAUCCGUAGCUGGUCUGAGAGGAUGAUCAGCCACAAUGGAGCUGAGACACGGUCCAGACGCCUACGGGAGGCAGCAGUGGGGAAUAUUGGACAAUGGGCGCAAGCCUGAUCCAGCCAUACCGCGUGGGUGAAGAAGGCCUUCGGGUUGUAAAGCCCUUUUGUUGGGAAAGAAAAGCAGCAGGUUAAUACCCCGCUGUUCUGACGGUACCCAAAGAAUAAGCACCGGCUAACUUCGU